rnacentral:rRNA from 1 species
AACGAACGCUGGCGGCAGGCCUAACACAUGCAAGUCGAACGCCCUAGCAAUAGGGAGUGGCAGACGGGUGAGUAACGCGUGGGAACCUUCCCAUUGGUACGGAAUAGCCCAGGGAAACUCGGAGUAAUACCGUAUAAGCCCGAAAGGGGAAAGAUUUAUCGCCGAUGGAUGGGCCCGCGUAGGAUUAGCUAGUUGGUGAGGUAAUGGCUCACCAAGGCGACGAUCCUUAGCUGGUCUGAGAGGACGAUCAGCCACACUGGGACUGAGACACGGCCCAGACUCCUACGGGGGGUAGCAGUGGGGAAUAUUGGACAAUGGGCGCAAGCCUGAUCCAGCCAUGCCGCGUGAGUGACGAAGGCCUUAGGGUUGUAAAGCUCUUUUGGCGGGGACGAUAAUGACGGUACCCGCAGAAUAAGCCCCGGCUAACUUCGUGCCAGCAGCCGCAGUAUGAC